UACUUCAGUAUAGGGCGAUUGAGCUGCCCUUCAGAGUUUGAUCCUGGCUCAGGACGAACGCUGGCGGCGUGCUUAACACAUGCAAGUCGAACGAUGAACCACUUCGGUGGGGAUUAGUGGCGAACGGGUGAGUAACACGUGGGCAAUCUGCCCUUCACUCUGGGACAAGCCCUGGAAACGGGGUCUAAUACCGGAUACCACUCUCACAGGCAUCUGUGGGGGUUGAAAGCUCCGGCGGUGAAGGAUGAGCCCGCGGCCUAUCAGCUUGUUGGUGAGGUAACGGCUCACCAAGGCGACGACGGGUAGCCGGCCUGAGAGGGCGACCGGCCACACUGGGACUGAGACACGGCCCAGACUCCUACGGGAGGCAGCAGUGGGGAAUAUUGCACAAUGGGCGAAAGCCUGAUGCAGCGACGCCGCGUGAGGGAUGACGGCCUUCGGGUUGUAAACCUCUUUCAGCAGGGAAGAAGCGAAAGUGACGGUACCUGCAGAAGAAGCGCCGGCUAACUACGUGCCAGCAGCCGCGGUAAUACGUAGGGCGCAAGCGUUGUCCGGAAUUAUUGGGCGUAAAGAGCUCGUAGGCGGCUUGUCACGUCGGGUGUGAAAGCCCGGGGCUUAACCCCGGGUCUGCAUUCGAUACGGGCUAGCUAGAGUGUGGUAGGGGAGAUCGGAAUUCCUGGUGUAGCGGUGAAAUGCGCAGAUAUCACGAGGAACACCGGUGGCGAAGGCGGAUCUCUGGGCCAUUACUGACGCUGAGGAGCGAAAGCGUGGGGAGCGAACAGGAUUAGAUACCCUGGUAGUCCACGCCGUAAACGGUGGGAACUAGUGUUGGCGACAUUCCACGUCGUCGGUGCCGCAGCUAACGCAUUAAGUUCCCCGCCUGGGGAGUACGGCCGCAAGGCUAAACUCAAGGAAUUGACGGGGCCCGCACAAGCAGCGGAGCAUGUGGCUUAUUCGACGCACGCGAGACCUUACACGCUGACAUACACGGAAACCUGAGACAGUCCCCUGUGUCGUGUACAGUGUGCAUGCCUGUCGUCAGCUCGUGUCUGAGAUGUUGGGUAGGUCCCGCACGAGCGCACCCUGUUCUGGUUGCAGCAUGCCCUUUCGGGUGAUGGAACUCCAAGAAGACCGCCAGUCAACUUCGGAGUAAGUAGAGGACGACGAUCAAGUCAUCAUGG
rnacentral:rRNA from 1 species